UUGAUCUGCCUCGAUACUUCUUGGGAUAAGCCUGGGAAACUGGGUCUAAUACCGGAUAGGACCUUCUCUCGCAUGGGGGUUGGUGGAAAGUUUUUCGGUACGAGAUGGGCCCGCGGCCUAUCAGCUUGUUGGUGGGGUAAUGGCCUACCAAGGCGACGACGGGUAGCCGGCCUGAGAGGGCGACCGGCCACACUGGGACUGAGACACGGCCCAGACUCCUACGGGAGGCAGCAGUGGGGAAUAUUGCACAAUGGGCGCAAGCCUGAUGCAGCGACGCCGCGUGAGGGAUGACGGCCUUCGGGUUGUAAACCUCUUUCACCAGGGGCGAACUUAGACGGUACCUGGAGAAGAAGCACCGGCCAACUACGUGCCAGCAGCCGCGGUAAUACGUAGGGUGCGAGCGUUGUCCGGAAUUACUGGGCGUAAAGAGCUCGUAGGCGGUUUGUCGCGUCGUUCGUGAAAACUUGAUGCUUAACAUCAAGCGUGCGGGCGAUACGGGCAGACUUGAGUACUACAGGGGAGACUGGAAUUCCUGGUGUACGCGGUGAAAUGCGCAGAUAUCAGGAGGAACCACCCGGUGGCGAAGGCGGGUCCUCUGGGUAGUAANCUACCGCUAGGAGCAAAGC
rnacentral:rRNA from 1 species